GGUAGGAGAGAAAACAGUCUAUGACUUGGGUGACUGGAGUCUUUGACAAUUUUUGGAGCCUUCCUGUGACACCACCGAUUAUAUAGGUCCUGGAUGGCAGGAAGCUUGGCACCAGUGAUGUACUGGGCUGUACACACUACCCUCUGAUAUACAGGUCCUGGAUGGCAGGGAGCUGGGCCCCAGUGAUGUACUGGGCCGUACCCACUACCCUCUGGUAUAGAGGUCCUGGAUGGCAGGAAGCUUGGUCCCAGUGAUGUACUGGGCUGUACACACUACCCUCUGAUAUAUAGGUCCUGGAUGGCAGGGAGCUGGGCCCCAGUGAUGUACUGGGCCGUACCCACUACCCUCUGGUUUACAGGUCCUGGAUGGCAGGAAGCUUGGUCCCAGUGAUGUACUGGGCUGUACACACUACCCUCUGUAGUGGCUUGGCACCAGUGAUGUACUGGGCUGUUCACACUACCCUCUGAUAUACAGGUCCUGGAUGGCAGGAAGCUGGGCCCCAGUGAUGUACUGGGCCGUACCCACUACCCUCUGGUAUAGAGGUCCUGGAUGGCAGGAAGCUUGGUCCCAGUGAUGUACUGGGCUGUACGCACUACCCUCUGUAGUGGCUUGGCACCAGUGAUGUACUGGGCCGUACCCACUACCCUCUGGUAUACAGGUCCUGGAUGGCAGGAAGCUUGGUCUCAGUGAUGUACUGGGCUGUACACACUACCCUCUGGUAUACAGGUCCUGGAUGUCAGGAAGCUUGGUCUCAGUGAUGUACUGGGCUGUCCUCACUACCCUCUGUAGUGCCUUGGUCCCAGUGAUGUACUGGGCUGUCCUCACUACCCUCUGUAGUGGCUUGGCCCCAGUGAUGUACUGGGCUGUCCUCACUACCCUCUGUAGUGCCUUGGUCCCAGUGAUGUACUGGGCUGUCCUCACUACCCUCUGUAGUGCCUUGGACCCAGUGAUGUACUGGGCUGUCCUCACUACCCUCUGUAGUGCCUUACGGUCAGACGCCGAGCAGUUUCCAUACCAGGCAGUGAUGCAACCGGUCAGGAUGCUCUCGAUGGUGCAGCUGUAGAACGUUUUGAGGAUCUGGGGACCCAUGCCAAAUCUUUUCAGUCUCCUGCGGGGGAAAAGGUGUUGUCGUGCCCUCUUCACAACUGUCUUGGUGUGUUUGGACCGUGAUAGUUCGUUGGUGAUGUGGAAACUCUCAACCCGCUCCACUUCAGCCACGUCGAUGAUAAUGGGGGCCUGUUCGGCCCUCCUUUUCCUGUAGUCCACGAUCAGCUCCUUUGUCUUGCUCACAUUGAGGGAGAGGUUGUUGUCCUGGUACCACACUGCCAGGUCUCUGACCUCCGACCUAUAGGCUGUUUUAUCGUUGUCGGUGAUCAGGCUGUUGUGUCGUGAGCAAACUUAAUGAUGGUGUUGGAGUCGUGCCUGGCCAUGCAGUUGUAGGUGAACAGGGAGUACAGGAGUGGACUAAGCACGCACCCCUGAGGAGCCCCUGUGUUGAGGAUCAGCGUGGCAGAUGUGUUGUUGCCUACCCCUUACCACCUGGGGGCGGCCCAUCAGGAAGUCCAGGAUCCAGUUGCCGAGGGAGGUGUUUAGUCUCAGAGUCCUUAGCUUAAUGAUGACCUUCGUGGGCACUAUGGUGUUGAACGCUGAGCUGUAGCUAAUGAACAGCAUUCUCACAUAGGUGUUCCUUUUGUCCAGGUGUGAAAGGGCAGUGUGGAGUGUGAGAUUGCAUCAUCUGUGGAUCAGUUGGGGCAUUUUGCGAAUUGGAGUGGGUCUAGGGUUUCCGGCAUGAUGGUGUUGAUUAGAGCCAUGACCAGCCUUUCAAAGCACUUCAUGGUGACCGACGUGAGUGCUACGGGCCGGUAAUCAUUUAGGCAGGUUACCUUUGCUUUCUUGGGCACAGGGACGACGGUGGUCUGUUGGAAACAUGUAGACAUUACAGACAGAGUUGAUCUGGUGAAGCCAGCUAGCUCUAUAUUAUCUAGCUCUAUAUUAUCCAGCUCUAUAUUAUCCGUCUUGUCGUUCAGCCACAACUCGGUGAAACAUAAGAGAUUACAGUUUUUAAUGUCCCGUUUAAUGUCCCAACAGCAAAAAAUAUUGUAAAAUCAGCGUUGUCAAUUGUGAAGACCUAGACAGUUUCUAAAUCCUGAAUAGGUGAACUUAAUAGCCAGCUAAUGACAAAUUCAGCAAAUCGUUUUUAAAAGUGUGUUUUCAGGGACAGAUGGCAACUGAUGUGUUAAUUUCACUGCAUGACAUUGGCAAGACAAAACAGUCGUGUCAGACUGGGUUGGAGGUAAGACAUUUUAAAACAACAUGGCCGCUAGCUGUUCAAUCUGGCUAAUUAUUUGUGAAUUCUUACAUGAUCUGUCAAUACAUGCAUGCAGUGCCUGUUUACUUAAAGUUAAUUAUCAAUUAAAAGUAAAUUGCUGACCACUUGAUCAAGCCUAUGAAUAUGCAAAUCUGUUUACAAAACCAUUGCACAUUAACAAAGGUAGUUGUCGUUCUCAGCAACUUGAACCAGCACUGAAAUUUGAGUAGUGAGGUUCAUUUCUCCUCCCCCUUUGGCCUUAUGUUUCUGCUCUGAACUCCUCAGAUUGAAGCACAUCCCACCCCAUCACCCAGACAGAUGUAAACUGCUUGGGAACCUCCCGCCCACCAGGGAAAUCACCCUAUCACAGGGGUUUGUCAGGGAAAUCACCCUAUCACAGGGGUUUGUCAGGGAAAUCACCCUAUCACAGGAGGUUUGUCAGGAAAAUCACCCUAUCACAGGAGUUUAGUCAGUAAAAUUACCCUAUCCUAGGAGUUUAGUCAGUAAAAUUACCCUACCCUAGGAGUUUAGUCAGUAAAAUUACCCUACCCUAGGAGUUUAGUCAGUAAAAUUACCCUAUCCUAGGAGUUUAGUCAGUAAAAUUACCCUACCCUAGGAGUUUAGUCAGUAAAAUUACCCUAUCCUGGGAGUUGUCAGGAAAAUCCCACUAUUCUAGGAGUUGUGUCAGUUUGUCCAGCAGUUUGUAGCAUCACUACGUUAGUAGAUCCACAUACUGUAUGUUAUUCUCUAUCAUGUAGAAUUGUCAGCUCCUUGUAACAUACGAAACUCCUUCUAAAAUACAGACGUGGGUGAUUUCUGCCCCAGUGUUUCUGCCCCAGUGUACUGCACACCGGGCAAGUUCUUAUUCCUGCCCACCACAGUGUUCAACUAUUCAUUGUCUACAAUUUAGAUCACAAUUAGUUGAAGGAGGUGUUAGUGAAGGGCUGGAACGACCUGUGGCUGUCAUGAUUAAAAUGUCCCUCGCGUACUGAACAAGCUUUAGAAUGGUGAAUCUCCUUGACGUCCCUCACUAGUGGAUCCUAAAAUGUUUAUUCUAUUCUACUGAGCCAUUUACUUUGUGUUCGUAUUCUUAUCUUUUAGAUUUUCGUAUUGUUGUUUCGUUGCUGAGAAGGAACCUGCAAGUAAGCAUUUGGUUGGACCAUAUGUAUCCUGUACAUACAACUAACAAAACUUGUACAAUGGACUGUGUUCUAAUGGACUGUGUUCUAAUGGACUGUGUUCUAAUGGACUGUGUUCUAAUGGACUGUGUUCUAAUGGACUGUGUUCUAAUGGACUGUGUUCUAAUGGACUGUGUUCUAAAUGGACUGUGAUCCAAUGGACUGUGUUCUAAUGGACUGUGUUCUAAUGGACUGUGUUCUAAUGGACUGUGUUCUAAUGGACUGUGUUCUAAUGGACUGUGAUCCAAUGGACUGUGUUCUAAUGGACUGU
ensembl:lncRNA